rnacentral:lncRNA from 1 species
CUCAUGGCAAAAGAACAUGUUUUUAUUCUGCUAUUCACAGUGCUUUUUCCUCUCAGCCAGGGACCCUGACCAGACCAUACGCCUUCCCCUAUGAACAGCCUGCGGCUCACAGCGACCUGUCAGCAGGUCUGAGGUGAGCCUCGCACAAAGGGCUUCUGCACAGAAAGGCCCAGGACUCACUGCGACUGACCCCUGAGUGAAAGAGAGAAUACAAGCCAAAAGGAGAGACUGGCAGGCAAACGGCUCACAAAACCUCUCCGCCAGCUACUUCCUCAGAUCCCAGCUGGACUGCAGCCCACAAGCAUGUACAGGCUGGUCUGAAGGUACAAAUCAAUCAAAAGUAUGCCUGCAGCACUUGAUGUCACCCAGGACCUCUCCAAAAAAGAUUCCUUAAUAUUCUUCUGGGAGACUGAGCUACUGAGUCCUAUUAACCUAAACAGAAAACAAAUACCAAUACACAGUAAGUCUGCAGCUGCUUCAAGACAAUGAUUUUGAUGACGAAGAAGACAAAAACUGUGGUAAAAACUGAAAAUGGUCAGUGAACAUCUGAAAAACAGUGUGGAAAACGUUGACCUUAAUGAAUGUUUGCUCCACUCAGUAAAAUUGUCCAAAUGAAAUACUGACAGCUUUAUUACCUAGUGCAUUGUAAUAAACUAAAAUUCAAUAUUCCGGUUCCACUACAGCUAUUAUUUUGGAGCG